rnacentral:rRNA from 1 species
ACGGUUACCUUGUUACGACUUCACCCCGGUUACCGGGCCUGCCUUCGACAGCUCCCUCCCUUACGGGUUGGGUCACUGGCUUCGGGCAUUCCCGGCUCCCAUGGUGUGACGGGCGGUGUGUACAAGACCCGGGAACGUAUUCACCGCGGCAUUCUGAUCCGCGAUUACUAGCGAUUCCGGCUUCGUGCAGCCGGGUUGCAGGCUGCAGUCCGAACUGGGACGCGGUUUAUCGGAUUUGCUCGGCCUCGCGGCUCCGCCUCCCUCUGUCCGCGCCAUUGUAGCACGUGUGUAGCCCAGGCCAUAAGGGGCAUGAUGAUUUGACGUCAUCCCCGCCUUCCUCCGGGUUCUCCCCGGCAGUCUCCCCCGAGUGCCCGGCCCUGCCCGCUGGCUACCGGGGAUAAGGGUUGCGCUCGUUGCGGGACUUAACCCAACAUCUCACGACACGAGCUGACGACAACCAUGCACCACCUGUCUCCGCCGCCCCGAAGGGAACAUGCGUUACACAUGCUGCC